GAUGAACGCUGGCGGCGUGCUUAACACAUGCAAGUCGAACGAUUAAAGCCCCUUCGGGGGUGUAUAGAGUGGCGAACGGGUGAGUAACACGUGAGCAACCUACCUUCUGUUCUGUGGACAACCCGAGGAAACUCGGGCUAAUACCGGAUACUCCGUACCCAGUGCCUACUGGGUACGGGAAAGCUUUUGCGACAGAAGAUGGGCUCGCGACCCAUUAGCUAGUUGGUGGGGUAAUGGCCUACCAAGGCGAUGAUGGGUAGCCGGGUUGAGAGACCGACCGGCCACAUUGGGACUGAGACACGGCCCAAACUCCUACGGGAGGCAGCAGUGGGGAAUUUUGCGCAAUGGGCGAAAGCCUGACGCAGCAACGCCGCGUGCGGGAUGAAGGCCUUCGGGUUGUAAACCGCUUUCAGUAGGGAAGAA
rnacentral:rRNA from 1 species